UACGUAGGGUGCGAGCGUUAAUCGGAAUUACUGGGCGUAAAGCGUGCGCAGGUGGUUCGUUAAGUCUGCUGUGAAAGCCCCGGGCUCAACCUGGGAAUGGCAGUGGAAACUGGCGAGCUUGAGUGUGGCAGAGGGGGGUGGAAUUCCACGUGUAGCGGUGAAAUGCGUAGAGAUGUGGAGGAACACCGAUGGCGAAGGCAGCCCCCUGGGCUGACACUGACACUCAGGCACGAAAGCGUGGGGAGCAAACAGG
rnacentral:rRNA from 1 species